ACCAUUGUGGUAUAGUGGUUUGAGUAUUGGACUAUGACUCUGAAGACCAGGGUUUGAAUCCCUGCUCAGCCA